UCUUAUUUCUCUAAGAGGGAGUUUGCCCUAGAUAAUCCUAUAGCCCUGAUUUUAUUGCAACUGGAAAGUACUAAGGAUUGUUUUUUAAGGCAGGUACAAUAACAGCAAAAGAAACAACUAGAACCGAGGAAGGGAGAGGAUGUGCACACAUAUUAACGCAGGGAGAGAGCUGUCAUCCCACAAUAUGAUAAUGGGGACCUGAGACGUCAAUGAAAGUUUACACGCAGGUAUUACUAAAUGGGAAAUGAAAGCUGCAGGCCACAUCCCUUCAGAUCCUAACACCAUCCGAGAGAAUGCGUGUGACCUCUGCAGCAAGCCCUGGGCCGUGCCGCGGGCCAUGUGAAAGUCAUACGCUAUCGCUGACUUCAGUCUCCUCGUCUGUAGAAAGGAGGGGGACAUCGAG